rnacentral:lncRNA from 1 species
CCAGGUCAAUCGCGCAAACAAUAUAAAGAAAACGAGUAGAAUACAGAUCCAAGAGCCAGAAAAAUAGCCAACCUGUCUUACGUGGGUUAUUUUUCUGUUUCCCUAUGGAUGAUGUUAGUAGAUUUGCACACAACUGUCCUUUAUGGUCAGAAAACCUAAUUCCUCUGCAGUUUGGGUCCCAGGCCUGAGGGGGCCCUCAUGAGAAAGGAGUGGGGGACAUUUUGGUGGUGCACCUGCAGACCGAGGACGUCCUUCUGGGUGAUCUGGGGCCCGCAGCCUGUGCCGUCCUGUCGGAGGCUCCCUGGGAUCUCUCCCCAGAGCCGCACAGGCCUGGUGCUGUGCACCCUGAGGCUGGUGUCUUCGCCUGCCUGGGAGUUCCCCAGGAAGCCACAGGGUGGGUCUCCAGGCACCUGUGGCAGUGUCCAUGCCCUCCUGUCCAGAUGGAAAGGCUGUGGGGUAGAAUUCCUCCUGGGACAUGGCCGUGGCUCUCAGUGCCGUAGGCGGUUAUUGUAUUUCCUCACUUUGGUGUCGAGGAGAGAAGUCCCCAAAUGUCUAACUUAUUUCUGUAAAAAAAUUAACAUAAGAAAAACGUGUUGCUUUCUGGCAUUGUGUUUCAGCUCCUGAUCAGAAAACGACGUCACGGAGAAGCACAGUGACCUGUGUGGAGGGUCCUUGUUUUCUCAGUUUUAAUUUGAAGAAACACACUGAAACAACCUUUUUCUUCUGUAUGAAGGGUUCUCAACACUUGGUGCUUUUAAGUUAGGGCUUGAAGGAAGCCCUGGUGGCGUCCCCGAGCAGGCUAAUCAGAUGCUGAUUGACAGCCAGGCUGCCCUAGCUGUGCUGGCACCUCCCGUGUGCGUCCUGGGGCCAGCACUGCCGGCUGACUCUGUGCUGGCACUCGUGGGCAUUGUCAUCCUUAGCACUUUAAGGACCCCUGGGGAGGUGCCGGUGACUGCAUUUCACAGAGUGCAGAUAAUGUGGCCAGAGUCACUGCUUGGAGAGAAGUGGUCUGUGGUGGCAGUGUGCACCUGUCCCCGUGCUGGGCUGACUUCAGGGUGCCUUCCUGGGGCAGAAGCACAGGCUUGUGGACCCACGUCACUGGGAACCCAGUCAGGAGUUGGCUUCUUCCGGGUCUCCCAGGUGCACGCUGCUGAAGGAUGUGCCUGGAGACGUUGCCCGAGCGGGCUCCAACUCCACUUGUAAUUUUAGAGUGUAAAAGUGGGAAAUCUCAAAUGACAGCUUAAAAUAGAGUGGCUGAACGCUCAGGUACGGGGCCAUUACAAUUGUAUUUUUAGUAUUAGAGCAAAAAUACCCUAAGUACAGGAUAUUUUCAAAGAAUUUUUAUCCUCUGCUGCAUUAUUUUAGGCAAAGGUACAGGCACAUUAAACUAGUGCCAUCUAAUUAGUGGGUUCCAUCUAAUUAUAUUUUUGAUUCACCAGGGUUAUUAGGUUUGUGUUAGAAUUUCUUUGCCCUGUAAUUUUUUUCUUUUCUUUUCCUGCUUUUCUAGAAGCCAAGAAAUAUUUUAUAAAACUUAGACAAAACAUUUCCAGUAUUUUUCCCUUUAGAGACCUCUGGAAUAUUGAGUGUACUUUAAGACAUUUCUGUCUUUUCCAAGAUGCUUAUUUUAAGAUGCACAAACAGUUUGACUUUGGUAGAAACUAGUUACUGCUAAUGGGGUCCCUUAUGAACACUGUGUGUGUGUGUGUGUUGUGUGUGUGUGUGUGUUUACAGGCAUGCCUGUGUGUGCCCAUGUGUGUACAUGUGGGUGUGUGCACUUGUGUGUGCAUGUGUGUGUUCACAGUUGUGUCUGUGCAUGCGUGUAUAUACCCAUGAGUGUGCAUGUAGGCAUGUGCACUUGUGUGUAUGUUCACAGGCAUGCCUGGGCAUGCAUAUGUAUGCACUUGUGUGUGCAUGUGUGUGCUUGUGCAAGUGUAUUCACAGGCGUGCCUGGGCAUGCAUUUGUUUGCUCAUGUGUGUGCACGUGGGCGUGUGCACUUGUGUGUGCAUGUGUGUGCACGUGAGCAUGAGCACUUGUGUGUAUGUUCACAGGCGUGCAUGUGCAUGCAU